rnacentral:rRNA from 1 species
GACGAACGCUGGCGGCGUGCUUAACACAUGCAAGUCGAACGGAAAGGCCCUGCUUUUGUGGGGUGCUCGAGUGGCGAACGGGUGAGUGACACGUGAGUAACCUGCCCUUGACUUUGGGAUAACUUCAGGAAACUGGGGCUAAUACCGGAUAGGAGCUCCUGCUGCAUGGUGGGGGUUGGAAAGUUUCGGCGGUUGGGGAUGGACUCGCGGCUUAUCAGCUUGUUGGUGGGGUAGUGGCUUACCAAGGCUUUGACGGGUAGCCGGCCUGAGAGGGUGACCGGCUACAUUGGGACUGAGGUACGGCCCAGACUCCUACGGGAGGCAGCAGUGGGGAAUAUUGCACAAUGGGCGGAAGCCUGAUGCAGCAACGCCGCGUGCGGGAUGACGGCCUUCGGGUUGUAAACCGCUUUCGCCUGUGACGAAGCGUGAGUGACGGUAAUGGGUAAAGAAGCACCGGCUAACUACGUG